UAAACAUUAUAAAGACAUCUUGAGGAAGAAUUGCUAUUUCAUCUUCGUGCUGGAAUAGUACAGAGACCUCAAUAAAUAUUGAGCAAUCAGUUUCUCAGUGAAACCCACAACCAGUAUUGGGUGGAGAAUGUGGUCCCCCUGGGGCACUGGCACAGGAAGCUACCACAUGGUCAGAAGUGACAAGGGACGGGCGGGGCUCCUGACAACAAGGAUAUCCUUUUAAGAAUAUUUGAAGAUAUAAAUCUAUAGUUUACAUUUUAUUUUCUUCUUACCUGAUUAGCAGGGCUUGUGAUUAAAAAUCCAAGAUGGUUAACAUUUUCUUAUUUCCCCCUUGGUAUUAAAUGAUGCGUCGUAACGAGGGGGGAGCUUUUCAGACGCUAUCAGGAGAUGAAGCUCUUGGUUCUGGCUCCCUUGCUGGUUUGGGAACUUAACUUGGGUCUCGGUAUCUACAUCUACAAAAUAGGAUAAUACGUCCACCGUCUAUGAUCGGGGCGCUUAAGAUCAAAGAUCAAAGUAUCUUUGAUCAUCAGGAAGUGUAAUUAUUCUAUGAUGAACCUCAUCUUCGGUAGCAAACUGGUUUGUGUUUGAUGUGAACCGACACGCAAGAAAAGGAGGACCUCUCUCUCAAUUUUGUCGUUACACCCUUCUGAUAGCACGGAUAAACUCGUCUGCCGGGAGGGUAGAGUCACGUCACACAGUCCCAGAUUCUGACAUUAGUCAGCUUUUGGACAUCAGCCUUCACCACACAGCUCUACAUAGUGCAGACAGACGCUUGUAUUUAGAAAGACCAUCUAGUGAGUGACCUCAUGGGGACCGGAAGGUGAUAAUUAUUCGUUGUCGCUCACUGCGCCCAUGCACAGAUGGAGUCUCAGGUGAUAGAGUCCAACGCCCAAGGCCACCCAGAAAUUGAGGAGAGAGCCACCCUUCUGGAAUCCAUAUGGAAGUCACUCCUUUACCCCUUCCCCUCGGCCUCCUGCCUAAGCAGGUGAGCGGUCGGUCAGCCUCAUGGGACCAGCAUCAGGGAUCGCUGCUCCCCAGUGACCAACUCCACAGACUGUCUGACAGCUGAACUCAGUGCUGGGAAAAGCGGGGGAACACGGCACGUGUCGCCAAAGCCUCAUCCAGCUCGGUCCAGCCCCUUUCUUCCUCCGAUCCCGGCCCAGCUCUUUGGAAGGAGCAAGAAGGAACUAGACAUGCCUCACAUCCAUGGGUGUCUCCUUACGGGGCUGCACCUCUUGCCGGGUUCCCAGUGUGAUGGGACGAGGGCGUCCAUCCGGGAAUGAGCCUGAGGCUGGGAGACUGGCACCUGCUGGACGCCCCACCGCGGAGCCCUGGGGCACAUAAGAAGUGUGCACAGGAAGACAAGUGAGAAGACCUCCACGUUAGCCCGUGUGGCGUCCCAUUCCCCGCCGUCCCCACCCCCACUGAGUGUGAGGGAGACAAGAGAGGCUGCCUGCCUGAGUGGAGGACCUACGUCUGCUGAGAAGGAGCCCCUGGGAACAAGCGCAACAGAGAGGCGGAGAGGAUGUGGUCCGUCAGCACAGAGACCCAGGGGUUCCCGGACAAAGCCUCGGGCCCGUGGCCGUCGCCGGUUGGAGAUGCAGCAAGGGAGGCUUAGAGAAGGCGCGGAACUCGUUCGCGGAGGAGCCACUGGGCUCCCAGUGUCUUCGGACUUCAGCUGUCCUUCCCACGCCACCGAGGACCGCCACACGCAGCUCAGGCAAGUCGCGGAGCCGGGGACAGCUGGCCCCCCCCCUGGGGGGAGAAGGGCAAGGCAGGUGAGGCACGGAAUGCGCCGGAAGGAGGUGGCGCUUCGGCGGCGCCCCGCCCCUCGCCACGGCCUGGCUUCACAGCACAUGGGCCCGGGUGGGGUCAGUUUCGCAUUUUAAGUUGGAUAACUUGGCAAAUGUGCUUGGGGCGAAGACGGUCCUCGUGCGCUUCCAUGAAAUCCUUGGAAACGGUUUCUCGAGGAGCCAUCAUUCGUGGUAAGCCCACGGCAUCACCUCCGCUAGCCUGUAUUUACCCAGGUCCGCCAUUAUCCUCCUAUCUUCUGGAACAUUCUGGGACAAGCUGCCCUGAUUCUCACUCGACUUUCUCUCUCCCUCGGUAACCUCAUCUCCGGCUACACCCCAUCCCUUCGCUUCCCCUACUUUUAGUCCAG